rnacentral:lncRNA from 1 species
GUGAGUAAAAGUCUAACUACCACAUAAAUCAUACCAAACCUUUUGAGAUCAGAUCGAUAAUGGAAGGAAAAAAAAAAAAAGAUUGAAGGGUUACAGUAAAAGAAGACAAAGGGGGUCAUACCCAAAAGCCACUUAAGGGCAUGAUAAUUAUUUUAUACCUUCAGCUCCAAUACUAAAAAUGCAAAUAACUCAAACUAAUUUCUUGUAAUUAGAAAGUUACCAAUUACCAAAUAUUUAUUCAAAAUAAAUAAAAAUACAAUAUAAAAAUAUCAUAGGAAUCAAGUUUAUUUUAGGUAGGUCAUGAUCUUAUUUAUUAGGUAAAGACCCCUCUAAUUAAUUUCUUUGCCUUAAACUUACAAAGUUUCUUAAAACAAGAUUAACAUACUUUUUACUUUUAGCCAUUAAACUAUACAGCUCAACCAAGUGUGUAAGCUAAUUUCUUGUUGCUUUUGGAUAAACUUCACUUUUUCUAUUUUUAGAAUCAUAAAAUAGUAAUAAAUUUUACGUAAAAUAUAAAAGCUUUAUGAGACUUAUAUUGAAAAAGGUUACAUUAAAUUUUAAAACUAUUUGAAAAAAAAAUUAAGGCAUUAAGAAAAAAAAUUUCUAUCUCAAAUUUUAAAAUUUUUUUAAAAGUGAUUUUUAAAGAUAUAAGAUAAAUUUACAUUUUUUUCGUAUAAAAUAUUCUAUUUUUUAUACAGAAGUUUUAAUUUUAAAAACAAGAAGCAAAAAUUGUAUUAAUUCCAUGUGUUAAUGGUUUAUAAUGCUUUCAUUCUAUGUGGUUUGUAGAGCCGUAAGAGGUGAGGUUAUGUUGUAUCCUCUCCAUGUUAAAAGCUCUUCAAAACAACACUCCUUUCUCCAAAUCCGCUCCCCCGUCUCUAACAAAUUAAUCCAUGGGUUCGUUUGCUGAUGGUGCUGAUCAUGCAAUGGUUAAUUUGAAUGGAGAUAUAAUAUAUUUUUUUUCACUUAUUUAUUUUUUGUAAUUCUUGUGGAAUAAAAUAAUUUCUUUUUAAGUUGACCGUUUACGCAUAUAAUUGACAAUGUAAAGAAGCCCAUGACCUACUUAUGCUACAAAUACUUUCCUGAAAAUAUUAAGACAAAAAAGCUACACUUCUUGUAAUAGGGACACCAACCCGAACUGGUUAUUACCUCCCGAACAAUGACAACUUUGGACUAUUAAGUUAAAACUCAUACUUGUUUCAAGGGUUACCCCCUAAACUAAACUAUUGACUCGUCAUUUGACUAUAAAUACGGAUCAUAACUUCAUUAUAAGUUUCUUUAUUAUUUUUUAUUUUUUAUUUUUUAGACGAUAAGGAAAUUAUUAUAAAUUUUAUUUUCAUAUUGAAUCAUUAUUAAUUAGUUUUAUUAUUAAAGAAAGGUAGUUCUAAAUAUCUAUUUUUCAAACAUAUGAGAGAUCAUUCACAUUGCAUUUUAGGAUCUAGCAUUAAUUAGAUAUAUUUUUAAUAUAAAUAAAUUUUAUGUAACAAUAGAAUAUUUUGUACAAAAAUAUAUUUUUUAUUUUAUAUCUUUCAAAAACUUUAAAAUUACGUAUGGCAAAAAAUAUUUUUUGAUACUUCAAUAUUUUUAGACAAUUUUAAAAUCAUAAUAUUUUUUAUGUAAAUUUAAAAAAAAAUCUUAUAUCUUAUAUAAAAGCUAUUAUUGUAUUUUAACUUUAAAAACAAAAAAUAUAAAGUAUAUUGAGAUAUACACUUCCCUUUAAUAUUAAUUACUUGUAUAUAUCAAGAAGUCUUCCACAGCUUGUAAAGGAAUUUAGACUUAUAAUAGGACGGACAAUCUAGUUUCUAUCUUAUUCUGGUGGCCACUCAAUUCAACCGGUGAACAUUAUGAUAAAUCAUUAUUACAAUAUCGACUUCUCCUCCAAUGACAACCCGCCUCCGAAAGGAUGAUGUGUUUCUUUAAAGACCACUUGUUUUUUAAUCUCUGGUUGGUCGGGGUUGUUAGGUCCCAGAUGUAGACGGCAUCAAAUUAGGUCCAGUUAUAGAAAAUUUGGAGAGAUUGAAGUCCUUGGCCUAUUUUAGAUCCACAUAGGGUCAGGGCUAACUUGAGUUGAAAUGUUACAUGGCCCCAUCUUGUUAUAAAAAUUUAUAAUAUUCAUUUAUUUAUAAAUUAUAUUUAUUUUUAUAUAUUAAAAAAAUAAAAAAACUUAAACAUUUUAGAAAUGACAUUUCUAUACAAACCUCACCACCCCUAUUUAAUUUAUCAUUUUUGCUAAAAUAGAUAUAAAUAAAUAUGAUCAGUUAUAACAGAACACCUAUCUUACUGUCAUCUCUACACAAAUCUUUUAAGAAUCUUUAAAGAAUGGUGAAUAAAUAGCCUUUUCGAAUCCUCAUAAUAUCAAGUUUUGACUUGUGAUGUAUUUUUUUCCUUCAUCAAACGAUAAAUUAUAAGAUAUUUUAUAUUACUCCAAUGACUCAAAUUAUGAAGAUUGUGUUAGUAUUGUUGAUUUUCUUUAAUCUAUUAGAAUUAUUUUAAUAACCUAAUAGUGAUUGAAUGAGUCUUUACUUUAAUUUAUUAGGAUUUCGAAUUGUUAUUUUAUUAUUAGGCUAUUAUAAUUUUCUAUAUGCCAUGAAGAAUAAUUAAAACAUAUAUAAAAUAUCCUUCUCAUAAAAAUAAAAAAAUAUUUUACAUGUUACACUUGGUAUCAAAGAUAAUUUAAAACACAAACCAAUAAUAAGACAAUCCAACCCCAAUUUCUAAAUUUUGGUAAAAAAAAAACAUAAUUUUAAAAUUUUGGAGGAUUCAUAUGCAACUGUUAUUUCAAUAUCAAGAUCUUUGAGGUGUUCUUGAUCAAGAAUUUGGGAUAUCAACGAAUUAAGCAAAACUCACACAAAUAUUAAAGAUAGUUGGACAAAUUUUAGAGAAAAAGAACAAGAUUUAAAGGCUCCUCUUUAUAGCUACUAAUUGAUAGAAGUACUUAUAUUUUUUAAAAGAUUCUGAAUGUAAAUACAACAAAAGAUGUCUAUGAUGUCCUCAUUAAUAAUAGUAAAUGAGGACAAAUGUGAAAGAAAUCCAACAACAAAUCUUUGAAAAGUCAAUGUAGGCUAUACUAAAUAGAGAAAAUAUUUAGAGUUUUUCAUAGACAUUAUUUUUUGGUAAUUAGAUGAAAACUAAUAGCCACAAAAUCCAAAUUUCUAAGUUAUGGAGAUAUUUAAAAAAAAAAAAUCUAAUCAUAUGGUUGAGUGCAACAUGAUAACCUUUAAAGAAUUGAAAGAGCUUAAUACCAUGAUAUUAUAGGUUUCUUGCAAGCCCAUGGAUAAUAGUUGGAUUAAAACUCUCAAAUCAAGGUGAAAGCAUUACAAAGCUAAAUUGUCUUACAAGGUAAAAAACAAAGUGUUAAGAUAAUCUUGAAUCGAGUAAUGAAGGUCAAAAUUUAUACAACAAGGAACAAUGAAAUUUCGUAUCAUGUUAGAAAUGAGGAAAAGAUAGUGAUUCAAUUCAAACAACAAUAAAUAUCAUAUUCAAUGUUAGACUUGUAAAAUAUAUGAUCAUUACAAAUCCAAGCAUAAAGCUAAAAAACCAAAUAAGAGAAAAUUUUAGAGUAAUGAGAUAAAAUUGAAAUUUUUUUAAUGCACAUUAUAUUAAUUAUAUGUGUAGUACUAAGGAGAUGAGUCGUUUUACUUUUGAGGUGAACCUUGGGAAAUGAUAUAAUAAUGCUAUUACGUUUGAUUGCAUAGUCGUUUUACAACAUUUCCAAAAAAAUUUACUAAGAAAUAUAAAGUAUACACUUCGAAAUUUUUAAGAAAAAUGAAGAGUUAUUUUAAAAUGUUUGAUAGUAAAAUUAUGGUACAGGUAGACUGGUGGCAGGGAACACUAUUUCUUUGUGGGCUGGGGCAAGAACCUCUUGGCUAGAGAUUCUACCUCUCCGCACACCAGCUUAUAUGAACUACUUUUUGGCAUUGAUUGACGACAUUUGCUUUAUGGGGAAAAAAAUUUAUGAGCAGAGCCAUCUCAAAACUUUGGAUAUUCAACUGGACGUGAGAAAAAGAGUAUACAAUUAUUCAAAGUUGACGAGCUAUUCAUUGGGGAUUGCCCUCCCCUAAAUUCCUUCCCACGUUUAUCAAAUGGUAAUUGAUCACAAAAAGGUUCAAUUCAUUCACAAAUAUGACUCUUCUCUAGUCAAUUGGGAGUGGCGCUCAGCCAUACUCAUUUUAAUCAGAAUUGAAUCUCCUCAUCCCACAGUUCCACGAGAGACCUGUAGGGGCCUUCAUCGCUAAUGAAUUCCAGAGCUGGAACCCCUUUAAAUUGCUGAAUUUGAUCUAUUUUCUGUAUAUCCUCCGCUGUUAGCUCCCAAUCGAAUAUCGCUAGAUUCUCUUUCAUUCUUUCCUUGUUGAAACUCUUCACGACAACACUCACACCUUGUUCGUAUAUCCACCUCAAACAAACCUUCAAAAUCAACACGACCAAAUUCAAAUUGUGGCAAAAACAAUCACCACCAAGUUAAACAAAUCAGUUUUUUUUUUUUUUUGAAAAAAUAAAUUAUGAUCAUGGAGGCCAAGAAAAAAGCACAUUGGAUACCCAGACUUUGUGGGGUAGCUUUUGGAUUCUCAAUCAACACAUACUAUAUCUCCACCGCAACAUUUAAGAAAAAGCAUAUCUUUAUGUCAUUGGUUUUGCAUUAACAGAAGCAGUCCCAUCAAGAUAUGAAAAAGGAAAAAAGAUAGACAAAAUAAAAUAAAAUCUACCAUCAAUUGAUGCAUCCAGUAAAUAUGAAUUGCGAAAAAGGGUCAACUUGUUAGUGAGUUUCAGCCGAACCAGUUAUUCCUAAUUGGAAAAUUUGGAAGGAACUGAUGUAGAAGAAAGCAAGAAGCUGUUGGAUUAUGUCCUUUCAAUCUUUAUGGCAGCACUUCUAUUAUAUACUUAAAAAUGGCAAUUUUUAUGGCUCGAGAAUUUUACCUGAGCAAUCGUUUUGCCUCUUGCUUGGGCAAUUUCUUUCAGGACUUGACAUUCCAUAACUCUGUCACCUCCCCACGGUGUUCCUCUGGCACCCAAAGGAGAGUAGGCCGUGAUGUGGAUUCCUUUCUCUGUACAGAACUCCCUAAGCUUCUUCUGCUGCCAAAGUGGGUUCAUCUCCACCUUCCCAAACAGUUGUUAUGAUUAGUGGUUUUUUUCUUAAAAAGAUUAGUCGAUUUGUUUAUUUCUUGAUACACCCAUGCUUCUCAUCUUAUAAAAAGUUCAACUAUAUGAAAGGAAAAUUCAAUGUUACUGAAGCACAACACUUCCGGCAGAGCUGCCUGAAAUGAAACACUCACUUGAUUGACGGCCGGAGGGAUUGUGGCUAUGCGGAGCAAGUCAUCAAGCUUUUUGCUUGAGAAGUUGCUUACACCUAUUGCUUUGGUGAGACCGAGCUUCUGACAGUCUUCCAGGUCUUUCCAAACGGACGCAUAAUCCAUGGGGAGAAGGUCCUCCUUCUUCACGGGAAACUCAAAAUUUCCAGGCUUCAUGCUUAGUGGCCAAUGAAUGAGAUAGAGAUCAAGGUACUCCAGUUCAAGAUUCCUACAUAAACCAAACCCAAAAUGAAAAAUUAAUAGAGAAGAAAGAUCAAAUAUGCGAAGUAAUUGAUGGUAUAGCUAGAGAAAAGAAUAUGAUAAGAAGUGUUUGGUUUAUUACUUGAGUGUUUGUUGCAGUGUAGGAAGGACGCAGUGGGGGUGUGCUUUGUUUCCCCAAAGCUUUGACGUGACAAAAAGCUCAUCCCGCGAAUUAAUGAGCCCAAUCUGUAAAGCCUUUUUUAUGGCUUCACCAAGGGGUUUCUCGGAGUUGUAAACAGAAGCUGUGUCGAAGUGUCGAUAGCCAACCUUUAUUGCAUGGAGAACAGAGUCUUUCGUUUCCGAAGGGGCAGAACGAUACACAGCUGUGCCCAUGCCCACCAGAGGUAUGGCUUUUCCUGUUGAUCCCAGGGCCUUCUCCGGAAUGCUUCCCAUUUUCUCUACUCUAUCUCGUGAAAAUUAUCACUUCCUCUGAGAUCUAUAUAUAUAGGCAUAUAAUUCCCAAACCAUCAGUAUCCGUUCCUAUCACAUACUAGCAGCGCAUCAGUCUUAAAAAUUAAUCAAUACUUACCGUUGAAUGACCAACACUAUCUGACGACCGCAGUGAUCUCACACAUUUUGGAUUAUUCAUACAUGGCCGCUAAGUCACCACAGCAGUUGCAAUCCUGUUAGGCGCAAUGACCAUUUUAUUUUCUCUUUCGUACGUAGGUGGCCUUUUAUGUUGGGCGCCCUCGUAUGUGAGGGAGUAGGCCCAUAUGUUGGGAUCAAGUCAGUUACAUUAAAAAAAACCGGAGACAAGAGAAGAGAAGAAAAAUGCUAUUUGCUCAAAUUUCAUCAAUAAGUCGAUCUCGCUUCAUCUGUUGUCUAAUCAAAUUAAAAUUUGGAGGAAAGGUUUAAAACUCAAGUAUCUACAAUUUGAACGGUGGAGAUCAGAUUUUGAAUUCGAAAAAUUGAUGUUAUUGCCCAUAAACAGUAACGACGUUUUUAGUAUACUUCCUCUAAUUUUUCUUUAUUUUUGUCAAAAGAAAUUAUAUAAUCCAAGGCUAUAUGUGAUUUUGAUGUAUUUGAUAAUCUUUAAAUAUUAUUCUAAAAAAGACAGAUGUAACUCAUUAUUGUUAAUAAUGGAUGUUUGAAUUGGAAUAAAUCCCGUAAUUUUUUCUUUCAAAUUGGGGGGUUUUCCAUGUAAAAAUUUUGAUGUCUAAUUUAUUUUCUUGUUACAUGAAUUUAUUUAUUUAUUACUGUUAAUUGAUAUUGCCUAUUUAGUUUUACCUAAAGAAAUGAUAGAAAAAUUACGAUGUUUAUUGAAAUGAUAGAAAAAUUACGAUGUUUAUUGAAAUACUGUCAAUUCACCCUAACAUUUUAAUUGCUUAGUUUAUUCAGAAAAAGUUCACGGCUUUACUUGCAUUGCACAGAACACUCAAUCAUUUUGUCAUCGGCCCCACCCCAUAAUAAUAAUAAUAAUAACCAAUGCUCAUUACAUUUCCAACUUGUAAGUGGACGGAGUCAAGAUUAAGAGAAAGUGAUGUAUCAGAUACUGGCUCCGGGUUGAAGAUACAACGAUCCACCUCCUCAGCUAGUAUUGGAAAAUCAUGAAAGCUUUUAAAUGGCCGUAAUAAAGUGGAGAUAAAUGAUGAUUCCUUGCACGUUUAUGUAUAAAAUUUAUUUUUAAAAAAAGCAUUAACCACACCUACCAAAAAUCUUUUUAUUCAAAAUCUUUCUAAAAAAAUAAAUAUAUAUUAAAUAAUGAAAUAAUUGUGUUUUGAAUCUAAUUGAGCCCAAAAAUUAAGAUUUGGUCCAUAAAAAUUGUAUAAUUGAUGAAAAAGAUAUAAAAUGUGAAGAGACCAAUAUACCAUUCAAAACUAUUUUGAGUAUUUUUUAUCACAAUGUUUGAUAAACUUUUUUAUCUUAAUUUUUUUUAAUAAUUAUUUUGAAAAUUUAUUAUUUUUAGAAAACUAUUUUUUAAAAAAAAUAUAUUCUAAAAAUAUAUCAUUUAAAAAAAUAAUUUUGACAUACUUUUAGUUAUUUUUUAUAUACAUAAUUUUAAAUAUAUAUUUUCCAAGAUGUUUAAUUUUUAAAUAAUAAUAAUAAUUUAUUUUUAUUUUUUUGGAAAAUGAUGUAUUUUUUUCCAAAUCACUAAAUUAAAUUAAAUUUUAUUAAGGUUUAUAAAAGGAAUAAAAUUUAAAUUAAUGUUUUUCUACUCUUUUUUUUUUCAUAGUCAAUAAAUAUCAUUUUUGAAAAGAUAAAAAGUUCAUAUCUUUGUUCUCAAUUUUCACACUUUCUCUAAGUCUUGGGCUUAAAUGGUGAACUUAUAUGGACCAAAACUUAAUUUUUAGGCCCAAUUAGAUCCAAAACACAAUUGUCCCUUGAAUAAUUUAUUAAAGUAUCAAUCCAUGAAAAUCAAUCAUUGUUAAAUGUAUUUACAGCAACAUCUUUAAAAUAUAAAUAUAAUAAUUGGAAUAAAUUUAUUAAAGCCUCAAUUGAUAAAAAUAAACCGUGGUUAGAUGUAUUUAUUCCAAAUCUCUAUGAAUAAAAAUAAUCUUAAUUUUUUUAUGCUUUAAGGGAUUUGAAAAAACAAAAGGAGGUAAAAAAUAAAUGGUAAAGUUGUAUGGGAACAUUGUAAAAUUUUGAUUAGUAGUCACCACAAUGAGAGUUGGUUAGCUUUCCCAAGUAUUGGCCAAGGUGGUUCUUAACUAGGAGGAAUUUAAUUCUGUGUGAUUUUGAAAGUUGGAAUCCAUCUUUAUAAGGUUGUGGAAAUGCUUAGAAACCUAAGAUAUAAUUUGGGUAUAUUUUAUUUGUGAAAAAAUUGAGGUAAAAUAUAAAGGAAAAAAAUAUUGGAAAAAAAGAAAAAAAGAAAAAGUGAAUAAAGAAAAUAAAAUAUAGAAUUAAAGUUAAUACAUUAUUUUUGUAUAUUACUUUAAAUUUAUUUUACCUAUUUUAAUUUUUCUACACAAAAAUUAAAUAAUUUAAAAAUACCUAAAAUUUUAAUUUAUUUUAAUUAUAUUUGAUUUCUUUUAAUAUUUUUUUUAUUUGAUAACUAAACAUAAGAAAAUAAUUUUCCUUAGGAUUUUUUUUUCUUUCCAAUCAAAUAUAACCUUAAUAAAGCUUUUAAAAGCAAUUUUCAAAUAUAUUUUUUAGAAUGGUUCUUUAAAUUAAAUAAUUCUCCAUUAUUUCUUUAUAUACAAUACAAAAGUCGUAAAAUAUUCUCCAUAUUUUCAAUUAUUUCUCAUAAUAUUUUAUAAAAAUAAACAUUCAAUUUAUUCCAAAGAAACAAGAUACUUGUAGAAUAAAUUAUGAAAAAUUUAUUUUCAAUUAAAAAUUUAUUGAAGGUGUUUUUUGAGUUGGAAAUUGUUUUAAAUUAUUUUCAAAAACAAUAUUCAAAUAAGGUCCAAGUGCAUGAACAAUAACAUCAACAUUGAGAUUCAAAAUUAGAAAUUUGAUAUUGAGUAUUAAUUUAGUUCUGACAUUAAUAAAAAUUCAAGGAGCUUUCUAAGGAUUGCAAAGGAUGAUGUGAAAAUAACCCGCACAUUUGGAAAUUAUAAGUAUUAUAACUAAAUGUUAAAAAUAAAACAAAUUUAUUGGAAGGCAAUUGGCCACAUAAUAUGAAAAUAUCGUUUCAUGUGCACAAUUCCAUUCCCAAUAACAAUUUUAAUCAUACUUAACAAAAUAAUUAAAAUAAAAUUUAAGAGUUUUCUAUAUAUAUAUAUAUAUAUAUAUAGUAGAAUUGUUUUAGACCAAAAAAUAUUUUACAACCACCCAUAUUUUAUAUAUAAUAUAGAGUAUAGGUAUAGAUUUUUUCCCUUUUGAAAUUAUAUUUAAUCAACAGCUAUAUUAAUAAUCAAAAUAGUUAACAUAUUUUAAAAAAAAAUGUUGAAUAAACUUUAGCAAUAUGUUUGAAAAAAAAAAUAUUAAUAUUCAAUUUUUUUUUAAAAAAAUUAUAAUUAUAAUUCAUAUUGAAAAAAAUAAGGUUAAUUGAAGAGUUAUGCUCAAACAUUUUUAGCAAUUAUAUUUAUUUUUCAAUGGUACUCUUUCAAAAAAAAUUUAUUCUCAUGCAUUACUAAGUUAAAAUAUAUUAAAAGAAAUAAAUCUUUAGGCCAAUCUUUAUAUAGAGAGUUUCCUAUUAGUACUUGAAUUUAACUUUAAAAAUUUUAAACAUUUAAAUAAUAAAUUUGUUGUAUACUUCCAACCCAUUUAAUAUUUAUUAACAUUUUACAAGUCUUAUUUAUGGUGAACCAAAAAUUGUUUUUAAUAUUCAUUAAUGAUUUAGUUUAAAACCCUAUUUUUAUUUUACGAAAAAAAUAAAAAAAUUGAGAUCAAAUAUUUGUAAAAUAUCUAUAGAAACUACUAAUACUGGAAGCAUCAUUACCUACAUUGUAAUUAUUUAUUAUUCCCAUAUAUUUAUAUAUAAAUAGUUUUAUAACUCCUAUUGAUUUAUUCUUUUUACUUCUCAAUAAUUAUUACCUACUUUGCAAAAAUAUUCUUCUCUGAAAUUCUUUCUUUUCUCUUACUAUAUGGGCAAACAAAAAAAUAUUUAUUAUUCCUCCCACCAGUCUUUCUCUUCAAUUUUUUCAUUGUUGUCUCAAUGUUUAAAUACACUCCAAUUGUCUUAAAAAAAACUGUGAUAAAAAACCAAUAUUUAACUUACAAGAUGAAUCCAAAAUGUACUAUGAUGCUACACAUAGGUAUCAUGAACAAUAUGAGACUAGACCUAAGGACAUAUGAAACUCCUUUUACUAAAAAAGAAUCAAUCAAAGCCUCAUACAUUACCUACCUCCUUUUACUAAAAAGGAAUCAAUCGAAAAACAUUCUCUACCUAAUCAUUGGGAUGGUAUAAAGUUUGCUAUGGAAUAAAAGAUUAAACCAAGAAAAGUGAAUUUUUUUUUUUUUCAUGUAGCUUGUGAGCUUGAACUAGUAGAGGGAUGACCUAUUUUUGAUAUGUCCAAAGUGAAUUGUUACAUUAUUAAUACAUAUCAAUAAAUUUAAAUCUUUAUAAUGCAAGACACAAGAGAAAGGAUUGUGGUUAAGGAAGGUUGGACUUCAAGAAGUGCAAAAACAAAUGAAGUUCUCCAUAAAAAAUUUAAAAUAAUAGAAGCUAACAGAAAAUGUUUAAGUAACUCUAAGUUGUUGUCAUCGGGUUUUCCUAUGAUAGAUAACUAUGUUUUUACACAUAUUUUUCAUGCAUGUACUCUAGCCUUAAUGAUUUAUUUUUUGUUGAAUUUUAGUGUAAUUAAUUUUCAUGUUAUUGAUUCUUCUCUUUUUCUAUCUUAAAGAAAAAAAAUUAUAUUUGUGUAUAAAAGAGAAAUAAUAGAGUCAUGACUCAUUUUAAACCAUUUUUAAUAUAUUAUUUUUUGGUACAUAGUUCUGUUUUUGAGUUUCAAUUAUUUUCAAAAAUUGCUAUACUCGUUCAAAAAAAUCUAAAACCUUAAAUUUCACUUGAUUUAAAGAGUAUGAUUUUAUCUCAUCCCAUCCAUAUUAUAUAUAAUAUUAAAUAAAAAAUAUUUUAUUUUAUAUAGACAUAUAGUAAAAGAAAUAUUUUCAUAAAAAUAAAGUAUACAAAUUUAUAAUAUUAAUUUAUUUAUAAAUAAUAUUUAUUUUUUAUAUAUUAAAAAUAAAAAAAUGUUUUUUUUAAAACCGAACUAGUGAUCAAAUCGAAAAAAUUAUCAAUUCACAGUUCACAAGUCGAAUCCGUGACAUUAUAAAUAUAUAUUUUAUAUAUUAUUAAAAUUAAAAAUAAUUAUAAAAAAUAAAAAUAAUAAAUUCUACUAAGUCAUCCUAUAUCAUAUUUCUAAUACAAUGAUAAUAUAAAUCAAUAUAACACUUUUAUCAAAAAAUUACUAUCCUAUAUCCACAAAUGCUCAAUAAACUAACAAUGAUAAAAAUUAUUUAAAAAUUAGAAAAUUAGUUUCAAAUAAUAAAUUUAGAUUAAAAUAGGAAUUUUAAUUUAAAAUUAGAAAGAUUAAUUUAAAAUUUAAAAUUUUAUUUUUAAAUCAUAAACUUAUUUUAAAAUAAAAAAUUAUUUAUUUAAAAUAUAAGGACACUUUAUUUUCAAAAAUUUAUUUAAUAUUUUCAUUAAUUUAGAUUAAAAGCAUAAAUUUUAAAAAUCAUAAAGUCAAAAGAAUUACAAAUGUAAAAAUUACAAUAAAUAAGGAAACGAGGAAAUAAGGUAAUAGAGUAAAAGAUCUAAAUCAUAAAGUCAAAAGAAUUACAAAUCUAAAAAUUAAGGUAAAUAAGGAAAUAAGGUAAUAGAAUAAAAGAAAUAAACAAAAAUCGGACUUAUGCCCGUCGGAGCGGCCUCGUAGGUCGGCGAUGUCGCGUUGGCUGGGCUGGAGGUGGGAGUUUGACGGGAGCAAUAGCACGCGAGCUGGAAAUGGUGGGGUUGGUUUGUGGAGUCCGGUGGACUGUUUUGGUGUGGGAGGGGGCUACGAUUGCGGAGGGGAGAACGAGCUGCGAGGCAACGACUGAGGGGUGGUUUGUGGAGUCUUGUGGACUGUUUUGCUGUGGGCAGGGCAACAACUGUUUUGGGGAGGGGGGUGGUGUGGAGGGGAGAGAACGGGCUGGAAAAAGUGGGCGGGGCAACGAUUAUGGGAGAGGGAAAACAGGUUGGAAGAACGAAAAAGAAAGGGAAGGCAAAAAACAAAAAGUAAAAUUUUCAUUUCAACCGUUCUAUUCAUCAAAAACCACAAAAACCAAUCGGGUCAACUGGAUCACCGAUUUGACUGUCGGUAGUCGGUACCAGUGAUUUGAGGCUGGUUUAGAGGCUGGCCGGUUCAAAAGGGUGAAUCGAGACCGGACUGGUGACCAACUGACAGUCAGAUAAGUUGGACCCGUUGAUCCGAUCCGAUUUUUAAAACGCUAAAAAAAAUUCACAACAUUUUCAAAAAAUUACAAAGAAAUAUAAAAGAUACACUAAGAAAUUUUUAAGAAAAAUGAGGAGCUAUUUUAAAAUAUUUGAUAAUAAAAGUAUGGUACAGGUAGAGUGGUGGCUGGGAGAACUAUUUCUGUGCUAAAGGGGAACCUCUUGGCUAGAUAUUCCACCUCUCCUAGCACCGGCUUAUAUGAGCUAUUUUUUGGCAUUGAUUGACGACAUUUGCUUUAUGGGGAAAAAAAUUUAUGAGCAGAGCCAUAUGAAAAUUAUGGAUGUUCAAUUAGCUGUGAGAAAAAGAGCACACAAUCAUUCAAAGGUGACGAGCUAUUCAUUGGGGAUAGCCCUCCUCUAAAUUUCUUCCCAAUUUUAUCAAAUAGUAAUUGAUCGAUCACAAAAGGUUCAAUUCAUUCACAAAUAUAACUAGCUAUUUUCAAGUCAAUUGGGAGUGGUGCUCAGCCAUGCUCAUUUUAAUCAGAAUUGAAUUUCCUCAUCCCACAGCUCCACAACAGACUUGUAGGGGCCUUCAUCGCUAAUGAAUUCCAGGCCUGGAACCCCUUUAAAUUGCUGAAUUUGAUCUAUUUUCUGUAUAUCCUCCACACUUAGCUCCCAAUCGAAUAUCUCUAGAUUCUCUUUCAUUCUUUCCUUGUUGAAACUCUUCACGAUAACACUCACACCUUGUUCGUAUAUCCACCUCAAACAAACCUUCAAAAUCAACACGAGAAAAUUCGGAUUGUGGCAAAAACAAUCACCACCAAGAUAAACAAAUCAUUUUUUUUUAAUUUUUUUUUGUCUUUUAAAUAAAUUUUGAACAUGAAGGCCAAGAAAAGCACAUUGGAUACUGUGACUUUGUGGGGUAGCUCUCGGAUUCUCGGUCAACAUACAAUAUAUCUCCACUACAAUAUUUAAGUAAAAGCAGUCACAUCAUUAUAUGAAAAAGGAUAAAAGAAAGAAAAAUUAAAUCAAACCCUACAAUCAAUGGUGCAUCCACUAACUAAGAAAUUGCAAACAAGGGUCAACUUGAUUAGUGAGUUUCAGCCGAACGAGUUAUUCCUAAUUGAAAAUUUUGGAAGGAACUGAUGUAGAAGCUAGAAAGCAAGAUGCUGUUGGAUUAUGUCCUUUCAAUCUUUGUAACGGCACUUUUACUAUAUACUUGAAACAAGCAAUUUUUAAGGCUCAAGAGAAUUUUACCUGAGCAAUCGUUUUGCCUCUUGCUUGGGCAAUUUCUUUCAGGACUUGACAUUCCAUAACUCUGUCACCUCCCCACGGUGUUCCUCUGGCACCCAAAGGAGAGUAGGCCGUGAUGUGGAUUCCUUUCUCUG